GACGAACGCUGGCGGCGUGCCUAAUACAUGCAAGUUGAGCGAAGAAGAUUGGUGCUUGCACCAAUUUGAAGAGCAGCGAACGGGUGAGUAACGCGUGGGGAAUCUGCCUUUGAGCGGGGGACAACAUCUGGAAACGAAUGCUAAUACCGCAUAAUAACUUUAAACAUAAGUUUUAAGUUUGAAAGAUGCAAUUGCAUCACUCAAAGAUGAUCCCGCGUUGUAUUAGCUAGUUGGUGAGGUAAAGGCUCACCAAGGCGAUGAUACAUAGCCGGCCUGAGAGGGGUAUCCGCCACCUCGGGACUUGGACACCGCCCAAACUCCUUCGGGAGGCAGCAGUAAGGAAUUUUCGGCCAUGGACGAAAGUCUGACCGGGCAACGCCGCGUGAGUGAAGAAGGUUUUCCGAUCGUAAAACUCUUUUUGUAGAGAAAAACGUUAUUGGGAGUUGAAAGCUCAUCAAGUGACGGUACCUACCCAGAAAGCGACGGCUAACUACGUG
rnacentral:rRNA from 1 species